rnacentral:rRNA from 1 species
UACGAAGGGUGCUAGCGUUGUUCGGAUUUACUGGGCGUAAAGCGCACGUAGGCGGGUCGUUAAGUCGGGGGUGAAAUCCUGGAGCUCAACUCCAGAACUGCCUUCGAUACUGGCGAUCUUGAGUCCGGAAGAGGUGAGUGGAACUCCUAGUGUAGAGGUGGAAUUCGUAGAUAUUAGGAAGAACACCAGUGGCGAAGGCGGCUCACUGGUCCGGUACUGACGCUGAGACGCGAAAGCGUGGGGAGCGAACAGG